CGAAACGUAGCUUAACAAAAGCAUCUCGCUUACACCGAGACAAUAUCUGUGAAACCCAGGUCGCUUCGA
rnacentral:tRNA from 1 species